rnacentral:rRNA from 1 species
CCCUUAGAUGUUCUGGGCCGCACGCGCGCUACACUGAUGCAUUCAACAAGCCUAGCCUUGACCGAGAGGUCCGGGUAAUCUUUGAAACUGCAUCGUGAUGGGGCUAGAUUAUUGCAAUUAUUAAUCUUCAACGAGGAAUGCCUAGUAAGCGUGAUUCAUCAAAUCGCGUUGAUUACGUCCCUGCCCUUUGUACACACCGCCCGUCGCUCCUACCGAUUGAAUGUGUUGGUGAGGAGCUCGGAUUGGCAGCAUUUGGUGGUUCGCCACCGGCUAUUGCUGAGAAGUCCUCCAAACCGCCCCAUUUAGAGGAAGGAGAAGUCGUAACA